CCCCUCGGCGGAGGACUAUAAAAGACCCCCAAGUUAACCAAGACUUUGAGACUCUCCCCAACGGACACGACGAAGCUAUUGGCCAGACCACGAGGAUUUCGUCUCUCCAUUGAUUUGUAUUAUGGUGGAGAAGCUUUCUCUGUAGAGCAGCCACAGUCCUUUACUUGUCCUUAUUGUGGAAAGAUGGGUUAUACAGAAAUAUCUCUUCAGGAACAUGUUGCUUCUGAACAUGCCGAAACAUCAACAGAGGUGAUCUGUCCAAUAUGUGCAGCAUUACCUGGAGGGGAUCCUAAUCAUGUCACAGAUGACUUUGCAGCUCAUCUUACACUGGAACACAGAGCUUCUAGA